rnacentral:rRNA from 1 species
AGCAGCCGCGGUAAUUCCAGCUCCAAUAGCGUAUAUUAAAGUUGUUGCAGUUAAAAAGCUCGUAGUUGAACUUCGGGAUCAAUGGAUUGGUCAUGCCGAUGGUGUGUACUGGUCAUAUUGGUUCUCACCUUCUAAGGAACCAUAAUGUCAUUUAUUUGAUGUUGUGGGGAAUUAGGACUGUUACCUUGAAAAAAUUAGAGUGUUUAAAGCAGGCUAACGCUUGAAUACAUUAGCAUGGAAUAAUGAAAUAGGACAUCGCAUUCUAUUUUGUUGGUUUCUAGGAUCGAUGUAAUGAUUAAUAGGGACAGUUGGGGGCAUUAGUAUUCAAUUGUCAGAGGUGAAAUUCUUGGAUUUAUUGAAGACUAACUACUGCGAAAGCAUUUGCCAAGGAUGUUUUCAUUAAUCAAGAACGAAAGUUAGGGGAUCGAAGACGAUCAGAUACCGUCGUAGUCUUAACCAUAAACUAUGCCGACUAGGGAUCGGAUGAUGUUAUUUUUAAUGACUCAUUCGGCGCCUUACG